UCCGGUUGAUCCUGCCGGAGGCUACCGCUAUUGGAGUUCGAUUAAGCCAUGCGAGUCCAGAGCUUUCGGAGCUCGGCGUACCGCUCAGUAACACGUGGGUAACCUAACCUAUGCAGGGGAAUAACCUCGGGAAACUGAGAAUAAUGCCCCAUAGUCCACUACGCCUGGAACGGUGAGUGGAUGAAAGCUCAGGCGGCAUAGGAUGGGCCUGCGGCGUAUCAGGUUGUAGGGGGUGUAAAGUACCCUCUAGCCCUCUACGCGUACGGGUGUUGGGAGACAUAGCCCGGAGAUGGAUUCUGAGACACGAAUCCAGACCCUACGGGGUGCAGCAGGCGCGAAAACUUGGCAAUGCGAGCAAUCGUGACCAGGGAACUCCAAGUGGCUGGGGUAAGACCCAGUCUUUUCAGAACUCUUCAAAGGUUUUAGAAUAAGGGGUGGGUAAGGACGGUGCCAGCCGCCGCGGUAAUACCGGCGCCUCAAGUGGUAGUCGCUUUUAUUGGGCCUAAAACGUCCGUAGCCGGUUUGGUACAUUCGUGGGUAAAUCAACUCGCUCAACGAGUUGAAUUCUGCGAGGACGGCCAGACUUGGGACCGGGAGAGGUGUGGGGUACUCUCAGGGUAGGGGUAAAAUCCUGUCAUCCUGAGAGGACCACCUGUUGCGAAGGCGCCACACUAGAACGGAUCCGACGGUCAGGGACGAAGCCUAGGGGCACGAACCGGAUUAGAUACCCGGGUAGUCNNNNNNNNNNNNNNNNNNNNNNNNNNNCAAGGCUGAAACUUAAAGGAAUUGGCGGGGGAGCACCGCAACCUGAGGAUUGUGCGGUUUAAUUGGAUUCAACGCCGGAAAACUCACCAUAGCCGACGGACAAAUGAAGGUCAGUGUAAUGAACUUACCGGAUUGUUCGAGAGGUAGUGCAUGGCCGCCGUCAGUUCGUACCGUAAGGCGUUCUGUUAAGUCAGAUAACGAACGAGACCCUCAUCUCUAUUUGCCACCAGAUCUCCGGAUCUGACGGGACUAUAGAGAGACCGCUGGCGCUAAGUCAGAGGAAGGGGAGGGCAACGGUAGGUCAGUAUGCUCCGAAUGCUAUGGGCUACACGCGCAAUACAAAGGACGGGACAAUGGGCUGCUACUCCGAAAGGAAUGACGCUAUCCCGAAACCCGUUCGUAGUUCGGAUUGAGGGCUGUAACUCGCCCUCAUGAAGCUGGAUUAGGUAGUAAUCGCGUCUCAAUAAGGCGCGGUGAAUAUGCCCCUGCUCCUUGCACACACCGCCCGUCAAACCAUCUUAGUUGUGGGUGGGUGAGGCUACCUCUUAAUGUGGUAUUCGAGCCUGCCUUCGACAAGGAGGGUUAAGUCGUAACAAGGUAUCUGUAG
rnacentral:rRNA from 1 species